AACUUUUUCACUGUCGAAGUUUCCGGAUAUGAUGUCAUUAGGUGAAUUUUUGGUACAAAAAAAACAAAGGAAAACUAAUUUGCAAUUCACCUAAUGACAUCAUAUCUGGAAACUUUGACAGUGAAAAAGUUGAUCAAGAUGGGAUUUUUUAUUAUAAAGAUUUAUUACAUUUCGUCUUCGGAUGACCCAAACGCAUACCAAAAAUCGUAUUUGUGGUUAGUCGCACUUCAAAAAAGAAAAUCCAAAGAGAUACAGUGCUGUAGGAAGGUUUUUCCUUAUUAAGGGCUGCCAAAAACAUUAAGAGUGUGGGGGGGAUUUAAAAUCCCCUAAAAAGUUAGAAAAAUCAUCAUCACUGAAAUGGUUACUAUUAUAUUACAAGUACCGGGGGUGCCAGAUCCCCCCAAAUUUUAUGCAAAGUGGAAUUUGAAAAAAAAUGCGAAUACUUAGGGAAAGAACAACAGCUGCGACUACCAUGGAAUAUUCAUUUCUCGUAUGAGUCUAUGACGUAUCAUCAAAAAUAAUCCGCACUUUUAUUCAACCGACACUACAGAGCUGUGGACCAUCAUAUACUUCUUGAAAGUGUUCAAACAGGGUUCAAAAUAACAGCCGGUCAAGGGACAUUGAUGAGGAGGGGAAAAGGUAUAUUCGUGAACCGUGAAUGGUGAAUAUUUGUUCCUGUGAAAUGCUUGAUUUUAGUGUCGUGAAAUGUGAUUUGUUCUACAGCCGUGAGGCGUGAUUGUUGAUAAAAAUGCUCCGUGAAAUGAGAAUUAAGGAUGCCUGUUUCGUGAACCGUGACCUAUUAGUGAUUAUUAUAAUAAACAUGAUACGCGAUAAUCAAAUUUAUAUGAUCUCACUCGAUUGCGCAAUAGUAAAAACUUCGGAAGCCUUUCGCGAGGUUCCUGACGCUGAGGACAAGGUUCCUGACGCUGAGGACAAGGUUUCUGACGCUGAGGACAAGGUUCCUGACGCUGAGGACAAGGUUCCUGGCGGUUAGGACAAUGUUCCUGGCGGUUAGGACAAGGUUCCUGGUCGUGAGGACAAGGUUCCUGGCGGUCAAGACAAGGUUCCUGGCGCUGAGGACAACGUUCCUGGCGGUGAGGACAAGGUUCCUGGUGGUGAGGACAAGGUUCCUGACGGUGAGGACAAGGUUCCUGGCGGUGAGGACAAGGUUCCUGGCGGUGAGGACAAGGUUCCUGGCGGUGAGGACAAGGUUCCUGGUGGUGAGGACAGGGUUCCUGGCGGUGAGGAAAAGGUUCCUGGCGGUGAGGACAAGGUUCCUGGAGGUGAAGACAAGGUUCCUGGCGGUGAGGACAAGGUUCGUGGCGGUGAGGACAAGGUUCCUGCCGUUGAGGGCAAGGUUCCUGACGGUGAGGAGAAGGUUCCUGGCGGCGAGGACAAGGUUCCUGGCGGCGAGGACAAGGUUCCUGGCGGGGAGGACAAGGUUCCUGGCGGCGAGGACAAGGUUCCUGGCGGUGAGGACAAGGUUCCUGGCGCUAAGGACAAGGUUCCUGGCGGUGAGGACAAGGUUCCUGGCGGUGAGGACAAGGUUCCUGGCGGUGAGGACAAGGUUCCUGGC